AUAACGGUCCUAAGGUAGCGAAAUUCCUUGUCGGGUAAGUUCCGACCCGCACGAAAGGCGUAAUGAUUUGAGCGCUGUCUCGACAAUGCAUCCGGUGAAAUUGAAGUACCAGUGAAGAUGCUGGUUACCUGCGCCAGGACGGAAAGACCCCAUGGAGCUUUACUCCAGUUUGAUACUGGGAUUCGGUACUGCAUGUACAGGAUAGGUGGGAGACGAAGAAGGAUGGACGCCAGUCUGUCCGGAGUCGCUGUUGGGAUACCACCCCUGUAGUACUGGGUUUCUAACCAGUUACCAUGAUCUGGUAAUGGGACAAUGUCAGGCGGGGAGUUUGACUGGGGCGGUCGCCUCCGAAAGGGUAUCGGAGGCGCUCAAAGGUUCCCUCAGAAUGGUUGGAAACCAUUCGAAGAGUGCAAAGGCAGAAGGGAGCUUGACUGCGACACCGACGGGUGGAGCAGGUACGAAAGUAGGGCUUAGUGAUCCGGUGGUAUUAAGUGGGAAUGCCAUCGCUCAACGGAUAAAAGCUACCCUGGGGAUAACAGGCUUAUCACUCCCAAGAGUUCACAUCGACGGAGUGGUUUGGCACCUCGAUGUCGGCUCAUCGCAUCCUGGGGCUGUAGUAGGUCCCAAGGGUUGGGCUGUUCGCCCAUUAAAGCGGUACGCGAGCUGGGUUCAGAACGUCGUGAGACAGUUCGGUCCCUAUCCUCCGUGGGCGCAGGAGAAUCGAUGGAGGCUGCCCCCAGUACGAGAGGACCGGGGUGGACGCACCUCCGGUGAACCGGUUGUCGACCAACGGCACGGCCGGGUAGCCGCGUGCGGCGCGGAUAACCGCUGAAGGCAUCUAAGCGGGAAGCCGUUCCAGGGAUUAGUUCUCCUUCCGGUAAGGGCCCAGGUAGACUACCUGGUCGAUAGACGGCAGGUGCAAGGGCGGCGACGUCCUCAGCCGAGCCGCACUAAUCGCCCGAGCUCUUCCGGAA
rnacentral:rRNA from 1 species